ACGACCCCCGUGUCUGACGUCAGAAGCAGGGGUACUGGUUUAGCUCCCAAGCAGGGACCACGCAGCCUCAACUUGGGAGUUAAAUGGCUGUUGCAUUCGCGGCACAGCCAGGAGCAGAUCUUCCCUGCCGCACGGCCCCUUCAGGGGUUAAAUGGCCAGCGCUGCGUUUGCGGCAUGGUCAGGGGCAGCUUUUCCCUGCCUUAAAUGCAGCGCCGGCCUAACUCUAGCUCCCGAAGGGGCCACGCAGCCUUCGGGAGUUAAAAGGUUGGUGCUGCCUUCACUAAGGCAGGGAAGAGCCGCCCCUGGCUGCGCUGUGAACGCAGCACCAGCCUUAGUUUAGCUCCCAAAGGUGCCGCGUGGCCCCUUCAGGAGUUGGGCUCCGUUCGGGAGCCAGACCACACACCCCGCGAUUGACAUCAGACACGGGGAGAGGGAUGAGCGGGGCUGCCGCCGCCACACACGGGGCGCUGGCGGUCAGGCUUCACACCUGGGAGUAUGAAUUGAGCAUGUGGACAUCUAAUGAGGCCCCAUUAUAUAUCUUGCCAAUCUGAAGAUAUGGACGAGAUCCUUGGAGCAAUAAGGCCCUAUCAUUAGCUCAUGUGACCUUUGCCUGUCCUAGCUGAUAAGGAAAACCAAUUGGCUGAGUUGGGAAGGUAUUAAAUGCCUUCUUGAGGGAGGGAGCAAUCCCUUUGGCCUUGAAGAACAGAGCCAUGAUGGGGCUGCUCCUAAAGGAACCAUCACUUGACUCAGGAGACUUCAGUUUCCCACAACUAAGCAAGCUGUUGGUAUGUGUGGUGGCCUCACAGCUUCAGGAGCUCUUGGAAAAUACUAUCUUGAGCCCUUUCAAUCUUGCUUCUGGUGGGUGGAAAUCACCUCAGUCCAUCCUAGGAGAUCAUCAUAUUUGUUACAAGAAGGCAAGUAAACUAUUCAACUUUUUAAAAUAGAAACAAUGAGAGGAGAGGGAAGUUACAGCAAAAGAGUUGGCAGUCUCCUAUUAAAGCAUAAAUACCUGAUUUCCUGCUGCUGUUGAAAGUUCUGAUGUUUUGAGAUGGCAGCUUUCCACUGAGCAAGUGCAAUUAAUUUGUAACAAAACAAAAAAAACACUGAAAAGGAUCUAAUUUGAAACAGGUUCCCCUACCUCAUGCAAGCUAAUGAAAAAUGCAAUAACUAUUGACCAAAAAGAGAGGAGUAUCCACCACACUGUAAAGUGUUAGAAAUGUUGUUUAAAUGCAUAACCAAAAC